rnacentral:rRNA from 1 species
UUUAUGGAGAGUUUGAUCCUGGCUCAGGAUGAACGCUGGCGGCGUGCCUAAUACAUGCAAGUCGAGCGAACGGACGAGAAGCUUGUUUCUCUGAUGUUAGCGGCGGACGGGUGAGUAACACGUGGAUAACCUACCUAUAAGACUGGGAUAACUUCGGGAAACCGGAGCUAAUACCGGAUAAUAUUUUGAACCGCAUGGUUCAAAAGUGAAAGACGGUCUU